rnacentral:rRNA from 1 species
UACGGAGGAUGCGAGCGUUAUCCGGAUUUAUUGGGUUUAAAGGGUGCGUAGGCGGGCUUUUAAGUCAGCGGUAAAAAUUCGGGGCUCAACCCCGUCCGGCCGUUGAAACUGGGGGUCUUGAGUGGGCGAGAAGGAGGCGGAAUGCGUGGUGUUGCGGUGAAAUGCAUAGAUAUCACGCAGAACCCCGAUUGCGAAGGCAGCCUUCCGGCGCCCUACUGACGCUGAGGCACGAAAGUGCGGGGAUCGAACAGG